rnacentral:rRNA from 1 species
GUGGGGAAUUUUGGACAAUGGGCGCAAGCCUGAUCCAGCAAUGCCGCGUGCAGGAAGAAGGCCUUCGGGUUGUAAACUGCUUUUGUACGGAACGAAACGGUCCUGGCUAAUAUCCGGGGCUAAUGACGGUACCGUAAGAAUAAGCACCGGCUAACUACGUGCCAGCAGCCGCGGUAAUACGUAGGGUGCGAGCGUUAAUCGGAAUUACUGGGCGUAAAGCGUGCGCAGGCGGUGCUGUAAGACAGGCGUGAAAUCCCCGGGCUCAACCUGGGAAUGGCGUUUGUGACUGCAAAGCUGGAGUGCGGCAGAGGGGGAUGGAAUUCCGCGUGUAGCAGUGAAAUGCGUAGAUAUGCGGAGGAACACCGAUGGCGAAGGCAAUCCCCUGGGCCUGCACUGACGCUCAUGCACGAAAGCGUGGGGAGCAAACAGGAUUAGAUACCCGUGUAGUCC